rnacentral:lncRNA from 1 species
UCACAUAAAAAAUUUCAUGAUCAUUGGAUGCUUUUCUAUUUUAAUUUGGAUUUUCUUAUUUGGAUGUCCAAUUGUGUGCACCUUGCUUGCCUUUGUGUUACGUGGAUCAUUUGAUGGCUUUGGCUUAUGAUUUGGUUUUGGUCCUUUUGAGGACUCUUUCUUGAUUGAUUGAAUAUGUUUCAUGUGAAAUAUUGACUUCUGUUUUGGUCAUUUGACUUGCCUUUGACCCUAGUCUUUGUACUAGUGGUUUGUACUCACCAAUUGUGUUUUG